ACUCCCACCAUAGCCUUCUUCAAGCUCGAGUGAUGUCCCUGAAGGUGGAGAUGGAAAAUGUGCAGUGUCGGCUCUCAUCAGCCCUUGAGAGCAAUUCCAGGAAACUCCUGGGUGUAGGGCACCAAGCUGAGGCAAAGCAGCUUGAAGGACAGAAGCAUUCCCAGCAAGCAGCCACACUGGACAGAAGACUAUACAGAUCAAAAUGCAGAUCCCAAGUCUGAAGUGUCAAUUCUAUUUCUAACAAUUGCAUAUGGACUUCAUUAGCCAGCUAACUGGUACCUAUUUUAGCAUCCCGCCAGCUGGAGGGAUUUCCAGUAAGAAAUGUGAGAAGGGAAAAAGUCUAGGAAUCUCAGGUUCCCCAAGGCCUUCUGGAAUUCGUACAGAAAGCAAGAUAAGCUCUGGGAAAGUCUACUUGGACCAUUUCUCCUCCCUCUUCUCUGUUCUCUCUCUUUGGAACUCCUGUUGCUGCUGGUUGGGUCACUUCAGCCCUCAGCUCAUGUCAGGUAACCCAGCACAGCACCACUUUCCUCUUGUUCGCGCGCGGUUGUCGUAAAUUGUCGCCCCAGCUGUAGCAGUGGGACAGGAUAAAGAUGGCGAUCAGGAGAGCAAAUGCCUCAGAAAGUAGCAUGCACCUGAUGGAGGAAUGGCCACCUGUCUUCUGAUGGGGAUAGCCCUGGAUUUCCAGGAAGUUUGUUGGCAGGAAGUCUGUGCUUUCCAUGGAAAAGCCAGGAUUUGCCUUUCUCAAUCCAGCUUCACAGCUGGGAGAUAAUCCUUCAAGUUUCA
rnacentral:lncRNA from 1 species